CACCUCUAGCAUUUCCAGUAUUAGAGGCACUGCCUGCCCAGUGACAUCUGUUUAAACGGCCGCGGUAUCCUAACCGUGCAAAGGUAGCAUAAUCACUUGUUCCCUAAAUAGGGACUUGUAUGAAUGGCCACACGAGGGUUUUACUGUCUUUUACUUCCAAUCAGUGAAAUUGACCUUCCCGUGAAGAGGUGGGAAUGACUAAAUAAGACGAGAAGACCCUAUGGGGCUUUAAUUAACUGAUUCACAAAAAACAACACACAAACCUAACCUUCAGGGACAACAAAACUUUUGAUUGAAUCAGCAAUUUCGGUUGGGGUGACCUCGGAGAACAAAACAACCUCCGAGUGAUUUAAAUCCAGACUAACCAGUCAAAAUAUAUAAUCACUUAUUGAUCCAAACCAUUGAUCAACGGAACAAGUUACCCUAGGGAUAACAGUGCAAUCCUAUUCCAGAGUCCAUAUCGACAAUUAGGGUUUACGACCUCGAUGUUGGAUCAAGACAUCCUAAUGGUGCAACCGCUAUUAAGGGUUCGUUUGUUCAACGAUUAAAGUCUU
rnacentral:rRNA from 1 species